UACGAAGGGGGCUAGCGUUGCUCGGAAUCACUGGGCGUAAAGGGUGCGUAGGCGGGUUUUUAAGUCAGACGUGAAAUCCCUCAGCUUAACUGGGGAACUGCGUCUGAUACUGGAUGGCUUGAGUUUGGGAGAGGGAUGCGGAAUUCCAGGUGUAGCGGUGAAAUGCGUAGAUAUCUGGAGGAACACCGGUGGCGAAGGCGGCAUCCUGGACCAACACUGACACUGAGGAGCGAAAGCCAGGGGAGCAAACGGG
rnacentral:rRNA from 1 species